AUUGAACGCUGGCGGAAUGCUUUACACAUGCAAGUCGAACGGCAGCACGGGGGCAACCCUGGUGGCGAGUGGCGAACGGGUGAGUAAUACAUCGGAACGUGCCCAGUCGUGGGGGAUAACGUAGCGAAAGUUACGCUAAUACCGCAUACGAUCUACGGAUGAAAGCGGGGGACCGUAAGGCCUCGCGCGAUUGGAGCGGCCGAUGUCAGAUUAGGUAGUUGGUGAGGUAAAGGCUCACCAAGCCGACGAUCUGUAGCUGGUCUGAGAGGACGACCAGCCACACUGGGACUGGGCCACGGCCCAGACUCCUACGGGAGGCAGCAGUGGGGAAUUUUGGACAAUGGGCGCAGGUCUGAUCCAGCCAUUCCGCGUGCAGGAUGAAGGCCCUCGGGUUGUAAACUGCUUUUGUACGGAACGAAAAGGUCUCCAUUAAUACUGGGGGCUCAUGACGGUACCGUAAGAAUAAGCACCGGCUAACUACGUGCCAGCCGCCGCCGUAA
rnacentral:rRNA from 1 species